rnacentral:rRNA from 1 species
AGUGAACGCUGGCGGUAGGCCUAACACAUGCAAGUCGAACGGCAGCACAGUAAGAGCUUGCUCUUACGGGUGGCGAGUGGCGGACGGGUGAGGAAUACAUCGGAAUCUACUUUUUCGUGGGGGAUAACGUAGGGAAACUUACGCUAAUACCGCAUACGACCUACGGGUGAAAGCAGGGGAUCUUCGGACCUUGCGCGAUUGAAUGAGCCGAUGUCGGAUUAGCUAGUUGGCGGGGUAAAGGCCCACCAAGGCGACGAUCCGUAGCUGGUCUGAGAGGAUGAUCAGCCACACGGGAACGGAGACACGGUCAAGACGCCUAAGGGAGGCAGCAGUGGGGAAUAUUGGACAAUGGGCGCAAGCCUGAUCCAGCCAGACAGCGUGGGUGAAGAAGGCCUUCGGGUUGUAAAGCCCUUUUGUUGGGAAAGAAAAGCAGCAGGUUAAUAACCCGCGGUUCUGACGGUACCCAAAGAAUAAGCACCGGCUAACUUCGUG